rnacentral:rRNA from 1 species
AGGAUGCUGAAUAUACCGGUUCUCGUUAGAUUACUGAAGUCAAGCAUCAUUGGGCUCGGUCAGUACUUGGGUGGGUGACCACCUGAGAACACCGCGUGCC